ACUCCUACGGGAGGCAGCAGUAGGGAAUCUUCCACAAUGGGCGCAAGCCUGAUGGAGCAACACCGCGUGAGUGAAGAAGGGUUUCGGCUCGUAAAGCUCUGUUGUUAAAGAAGAACACGUAUGAGAGUAACUGUUCAUACGUUGACGGUAUUUAACCAGAAAGUCACGGCUAACUACGUGCCAGCAGCCGCGGUAAUACGUAGGUGGCAAGCGUUAUCCGGAUUUAUUGGGCGUAAAGAGAGUGCAGGCGGUUUUCUAAGUCUGAUGUGAAAGCCUUCGGCUUAACCGGAGAAGUGCAUCGGAAACUGGAUAACUUGAGUGCAGAAGAGGGUAGUGGAACUCCAUGUGUAGCGGUGGAAUGCGUAGAUAUAUGGAAGAACACCAGUGGCGAAGGCGGCUACCUGGUCUGCAACUGACGCUGAGACUCGAAAGCAUGGGUAGCGAACAGGAUUAGAUACCC
rnacentral:rRNA from 1 species